UCAGCUUUCCACCUCCGCAUCCUUGUGUCUCCGCUGUCUGUCAUUUGCCAGCCCGGCACGUGACAAAACAGAACGGGAGUUGUUUAAAAGACAGUGAGUUAAAAUUUUAUGAUGCUCUGGUAGGCCUGCCUCUUGGAGACAAUUCAAACGGGAAAGAAAAGAAGAAAGAAAAGAAAUAAAACCAAACCACAACAUUUCAGGUCAUUGGCCUUUUUAAAUAGACCGCCGGCAAUAUUUACUGCUCCUGAAAUAGCAGUCACAUGGAAUAAAACCGUGUUGGUAAAGCCUGCAAAACAAAAGGACAAUUUACAGGCUGCCGUGCUCACUGAGGGACCUCUGUUUGCUGGCUGAUCCGGCUCUGCUUCCUGACCGUCCCUGCCACCUUCUGCCCAAGGCCUUGAGGAGACAGAUACAAGUCAAGGUGUUUUCAAGACCUUGGGAAUUGUGCAAAGCAGCUGGAGAAGCAGAAAGAGGUGUGGUAGUGAUAUGCCUACAUCAGAGAACUACGUCAUCCCAGACUUCAGAGAGGGUCCUCCAGCGUAUUCUACAACCUGAAUCUCUGGCUUCUCAAACAUGGGGCGCUCCACAGACAGUCAAGAUCACCACGAGGAGAGACACGAAGCAACCUUCCCUGGGUGUCUUUGUGUCCUUCCUUUGCAUCAGCUACCUUGAGGGGACCCAUUUUGAUUUCUUUUCCACGUGUCAAAUGCAAGGCAAACGGGGACGAGUUAGAGACCAGCAAGCGUGGCACAUACCCGGGAUCUCAGCAUUUGGAGGCCCAGACACAAGCAUGAGGCUCUCCUGGUCUACAGAACGAGUUCAGGGCCAGCCUGUCAUGUAAUAAGACUCUGUUUCAAGCAAAUACAUACACAAAAAAGCAGAUGGUCAGAAAAGUAUACAGUAUAUUCCUUUCACCCAAAUAAACAGUUAUGACCGUAAAGAAAA